GCCUGGGUGGCUCAGUCAGUUGAGUGUCUGACUUCGGCUCAGGUCAUGGUCUCGCUGUAUGUGAGUUCGAGCCCCGCGUCGGGCU
rnacentral:tRNA from 1 species